UUAUAGAUGAGUCCGCGUCAGAUUAGCUAGUUGGUGGGGUAAGAGCCUACCAAGGCGAUGAUCUGUAGCUGGUUUGAGAGGAUGAUCAGUCACACUGGAACUGAGACACGGUCCAGACUCCUACGGGAGGCAGCAGUGGGGAAUUUUGCACAAUGGGCGCAAGCCUGAUGCAGCGAUGCCGCGUGUGGGAAGAAGGCCUUUGGGUUGUAAACCACUUUCAAUUGGGAAGAAGGGAUGAGAGUUAAUAACUCUCUGACUUGACGGUACCUUUAGAAGAAGCACCGGCUAAUUUCGUGCCAGCAGCCGCGGUAAUACGAAAGGUGCAAGCGUUGUUCGGAUUUACUGGGCGUAAAGAGAUCGUAGGUGGUUUGUUAAGUUGGAUGUGAAAUCCCGGGGCUCAACCUCGGAACUGCAUCCAAAACUGGCAGACUUGAGUUCGGGAGGGGUAAGCGGAAUUCCGUGUGUAGCAGUGAAAUGCGUAGAUAUACGGAGGAACACCUGAGGCGAAGGCGGCUUACUGGACCGAUACUGACACUGAGGAUCGAAAGCGUGGGUAGCAAACAGGAUUAGAUACCCUGGUAGUCCACGCCCUAAACGAUGUCAACUAGCCGUUGCGGGUAUCGACCCCUGCAGUGGCGCAGCUAACGCGAUAAGUUGACCGCCUGGGGAGUAC
rnacentral:rRNA from 1 species